rnacentral:rRNA from 1 species
UACGGGGGGAGCAAGCGUUGUUCGGAUUUACUGGGCGGAAAGGGCGCGUAGGCGGCCAGCACAAGUCAGUUGUGAAAUCUCCGAGCUUAACUCGGAAAGGUCAACUGAUACUGUGCGGCUAGAGUGCAGAAGGGGCAACUGGAAUUCUUGGUGUAGCGGUGAAAUGCGUAGAUAUCAAGAGGAACACCUGCGGCGAAGGCGGGUUGCUGGGCUGACACUGACGCUGAGGCGCGAAAGCUAGGGGAGCGAACGGG